rnacentral:lncRNA from 1 species
GCGACGUUUUCAGGCCGUGGCAUCCUCCGCACUCGGAGCCUGGGAUGCAGCAGGCGGGCAGAACUGUUGGAUGCAUGCAAUGGCGCGCGGGGCUGUCGACACCGAGGCGGAUAAACGCAGGCCCCACCUAAAAGAACUGCCGGCCUCUGAGGAAACAGGUGGCUGGGACUUGGUCACGGACCCCCGUCCGUCUCUGUCAGAAGGCUGCUUCUAGGGCAUGGAUCCUCCGGCACUUUGGCCUGGGCCUGUGCAUUCCUGUGAGCAGAGAAAGCCCUGGUGGAGUGGAGGAGCUUGCAGACAAAAGCUGUAGCAUUCCACUCAGCAGACCAGCAGACUUCCCGCCAUGGCCAAUGUGUUCAGGACCGAGGGGGCCCAGUGCCUUUCCAGCAGCCUGUUUCAUGCACCCCUUUCUUGGAGGGGGGCUUCCAUUCCUUCACCUCCUCUGUCUGCAUCCCCUGUGGUCAAGCUCCGGGUGGUUAUUAGUAGCCUCCAUGGAACCGGUCCAGGACACUCUUCAGCCUUCUCCUCCCUGACCUCUGGGCAGCCUGUGGGAUGCCCUCCCAACGUCCUUCCAUCCUAGGGGCUGCCUGUUUCCUCUCCAGACCCUCUUUUCUGCCUGUAGAAGUUGGUUACCUUCCAGCUUCAUCCUCACACCCCACACACUCCCUGGAGAAUGUGCCCAUGGCCUCAAUCACUUGUGGGUUCAAUUUGCUGAUACCCCCCAAAUAUGCAUCUGUAUCCCAGAUUUGCUUUCUAAACUCCAGACGCACAUGUUCAAUUGCCCGCUUAGCACCUACACGUGGGUGUCCUCGGAAGCAGAAUGGAGAAAUAAGUGCUGUCCAAGGGCUGAGUUUAGUUCAUAUCCUCUCACUGUAAUCAACCCUCACCUUGAGUAUCACGGCUUUUCUGAGUCUGAGCGCUUCUAGCCAAUCACUGGACCUCUGGGGGCCCCGAGCUUCACUCUCAAGUCAGGCUGCGAGCUGCUCCAUGCAGCUUCCCUUCCCUGGCCCAAGAGCUGUCUCUCUCCCACUCACUACGCUCCAGCCACCCUGCCCUUCUCUCAGCCCUGGAAAACACCAGGCUUGUCCUGAUGCAGGGUCUCUGCACUCACUGCUCCCUCUGCAGCCGGCCCUGUGGCUGCUCCUUCCCAUCUCUGAGUCUCAGCUCAAACGCCCACGUCCUCAGCAAAGCCUUUCCAAUUACUCCAAAUCUUAACACAGCAAACAUUCAUUACCUCACAGUUUCUGUGGAUCAGAAAUCUAGGUGUGACUUAACUGGAUACCUCAGGUUCAAGUUCUGUCUUGAAUCUCGGUCAAGCUGUUGGCCAGACAGAGGGUUAUGGUCUCAUCUGAAGGCUUGAUCUGAAGACCACCACUUCCAAACUCAUUCAUGAGGUUGUGGUCAGGCCCGGUCCCUUGUCACUUGGGCUUCCUCAUGGGGCUGCCUCACUACAUGGUAACUACUUAACUUAGCAUGGGGCCAAGAUGGAGCCAUAGUUUUUCUUUAAUUGAAGUACAAUUGACAUAUAACAUUAUAUUACUUCAAAUGUACAACAUAAUUAUUCAAUACUUGUAUAUAUUGCAAAAUGGUCAUC